UUCUUCUUCCCCAAUCCAAAUUAUUCUGUUAAAUUGUGAUUUGGUGUUGUUUCUUUUUGUUUUCUUUUUAUGUUGUUAAUCUAGUGUUGUAAUUGAUGAUCGAAAGGGUGAAUUUUUUUUGUGUUGUUAUUUUUAUGAUGUGAGGUUUGUUUCUCUAUUUUUCGGUGUGAAGAUUGUUGUUAUAUUUUUGUUCUUGUUUUGCAGGUUUGGAUGGUUAGUGUUGGCAAGUGAGUAUGAUGGUAGUAUGAUGGUUUAAGUAGGUUCAAUU
rnacentral:lncRNA from 1 species